UGAAACUCAACUUGCAGUAUCAUUGAAGCUGAUUACAAGGGAACCAAAGACACCGCCUAACACGGUUCUGAGGUGAAUAUGAUCAACCUUUGAAGAAGCUAAAUAACUGACAACCUGUCAAUAUAACCUGUCCCCUGCUGGAGCGCUCAACAGAAAGUAAUUAAGAGGACCCAGGCCACCAUCAGGCCCAAAGACUCGAUGUUGGUGGGAAACCUCUAAGGCUGUGGAGCCUCCAGUGGGCCGGAUUUGGGUGUCGGAAUGGAAACAAUUUGAUCACUCAGGCCAGGUGGACACAAAGAAGAGAUGGCCCUUUUCCUGCUCCUCGAUGUGAUAUCUGAACUCCUGCAGCCAUCUUGCAACCAUGAGGAGAGCUGGUCUGUGACAAAGCCCACAGUGCAAGGAAGACCAAGUUAAGAGAAAUGUAGCUUGGGCCCUGACCCUAAUGGACCUACAGGCAUUCUGCCUUUGGACUCCUCCCGUGCCCUAAUUCUCCUUUUGUUUAAGACAAUUGAGUUGGAGUUUUCAGUUCUUUGCAGUUGGAACAUCUUAGCUGAACCAAGUAUAGAAAAGUUCCUUCAGUUUACUUUUCCCAUAGCCAUGAGAAUUUUGACUCACGUACCCACAAGUCAUUUCUGUUUGUUUGGUAUAAUCAGAGAAGAAGGACUGGAAGAAGGUGGUGAAGAAAGAGAUAAAGUGGCUACAGGGCAGUGCAAGUUCUGCUGACAUGCAUUUAGGGGGCAGGGAGAUAAAAAACAACCCAGGGGGGUCCUUGGGACCUGAGAGAGAGAACAAACAAUACUUAAAUCAUAACAUUUUUAAAAAGCAGUAACAAAAAAGAUAAAAAUAUUUUUUAAAAAAAGAAAAAAGAGCUGACAUUUGGAUAUAACAACAGACACACAGAUCAGACCCUCCUGCUAUGGAUUGCCAGCAAAGAAGCAAAAGCAGUUACAGUGAUGCGGGGGAGGCCUGGGAAAAACCCUAACAAGAGAGGAUAAAAGAAGGUUCACUGUGAUCCCGCGAUAAUUAUUAAAUUG